UAUUUGUCUGACUCCUCAGAGGACCCUGUAUUGAACGACUGCCCACUGGAAUCCACUUCCCAAAGACUGGGUGGACACAAGUCUCUAUUUUAGGUGACUUCGGUUCUGUAGCUGCUGUGCAUAUAGAAGCACCAGAGAGAUUGGAAGAGGAAAACAAGCUUCCAUGUUUUUUCAACUCCUAAUUGGUUUCUUAACUUUGAAUUAACUAGCUAAUGAACUGAACUAUGUGAAUGAAAUGAAGAAAAUAUUCUCUACAACUUCAGAAGAGGUUACUGCUGUCAAAAUCUGGGCUAGCACUACAACAAUCCCUGGUUCCAGAGGCUAAGCCAAUGACUUCCACCAGUUCAGUGAUUUGACUUUAUUUAAAACUUUGCAGCAAACAUGUACUCUUUGAAUAUAUUUUUUAUUUAAAUAGCUUAUGGUAAGUUUGGACUAAACAUAGGUUGUCAUAAUUUCAAAUUUAAUUUUCUGUUUAUUUUUAAAAAUAAAAGGUAUUUAAUUUAAAUAAAAUUCCAUUAUAUAUA